CGCUCUCGCUCGCUCACAAGUCGCCCUCGCUUUUCGGCUGCCCACACAGAUUUACUGGCUAGAUUUUGGAGUUUAUCGGAUAUGAUUUGGAUAGCCCGACACUAAUCUGCGAUUGGAAUCGUAAUUUGGGGAGAUUUGUGGAGUCGAUCGACGAUGCUGGAGCACAGGAGAGACAUGGUAGGGUAUGUCCAUAAGGUCGUUAGGAAGAAGAAGUUCAAGCGAAAGACGAAGCGCCGGACGCCGGAUGGUUCGGUGACGCUGCAACGGUUGUACAUGUCGUGCCGAGAGGUGUUUAAAGGCCCCGGCACUAUUCCUUCCCCCGCUGAUGUGCAGAAGCUGUGCCACAUUCUUGAUUUCAGGCUAAGCAGGGAUUUGUAGUUCUUCCAGACCAAAGCUGCUGUGAAAGGGCCUCCAAGAGUCGCAGAAGCAACCAUAUACUCUUGCAAGAACUUUUAGGUGGACAGACAAGUAUUAGGCUAUAUUGGAGAUGCUAUUUUCCUAAUACUCAAGCUGUAAUCUAUGUUAUUGAUUCAAGUGAUACUGACAGGCUUGCAAUUGCUAAAAAAGAAUUUCAAGAGAUCUUGGAGGUAUCUUGCGGCGCAGUUUCAUGUGAUACUGAUAGGUUUGGUCUUUUGAUUGGCUAGAAGCUCAGCAAUAUUAUUGCUUUAAUUCUGUUUUGGGACAUUUGCCCCCUGUUUGUGUUCUGUUUUGGGGCUGGUCUUGUUCCUUGUUUCUUGUUGGCUCCAAAAUUGCUCCAUCUCUCUCUCUCUCUCUCUCUCUCUCUCUCUCU